rnacentral:misc_RNA from 1 species
AACGCACCUUGCACCCUUUGGUAUUCCGAAGGGUACACCCGUUUGAGUGUCAUUGUAAUCUCACUUGUACAACUUUUUUGUUGUCGAAUGUGGACUUGGACGUCUGCCGUGUUUCAACGGCUCGUCUUAAAUGCCUGAGUGUACCCCGCUUUGCGGCGUAUUCGGUGUGAUAAACAUUUCACCGGAGUUUGGUCUUCUGACCGCGCUUUUGCAAUUGGUGGGCUCUAUGCUUUCCAACCGUCCCUUGUGGACAAAUCUUUGACAAUUUGACCUCAAAUCGGGUGGGACUACCCGCUGAACUUAA